GCUGGAACCCUGGUGGGAAAUUGAAAGGUGUACAUUCAGAGAGAAUCUACCAGCCUCCACGGUUUCACAGGGCUCCACAGAAGGACUGAGAAAAAGCAAAGGCAAUUUUGGGUUUCUGGGGAGCAGAUACUGCUCAGUAACUCCAGAAACUUCCCAAAAGUGCAGUUUCUAGGUCUCUGGUGUCUAUGACUGUACCACCUGAAUCAGACUCACUGAGGAAGGUGAGAUCAGCGUGGGUUGUUCAGGUCCUUGGGCUGGGACCAACUCCUCUCCUGAUUUAUCCUAAGACCAAAGACACUUCAAGGGCAAUGCCUUGUGUUUUGUGUGUGUGUGUGUUUCUACCAGUCAGAACUGCUCAUCAGAGGCUUCCGACUGUGUCACAGACUUCCAAACAGCAAUUAGAUGGAAAUAAACAUCUGUAGUUACUGAGACACACUAGAUAUGACCUUGUGACCCUGAAAUGGGAGGCUUUCUUUAUAAACCAUUUACUCGAGCAAAAUUAUGCCACAAGAAGGAAUAGGCUUACUUUUCACCAUCUCUAUUUAUUAAAACCAUUGCUAACUUGUUCCUUGAUUUAUGAAGUUUGUGACAAAUUGCUUGCUUAAUUGAAAUACGUCAGCUUUCUAAGUACUGAAGUUAAUUACCUCUCAUUUUCUAGUGGAGACUGACCUUUAAUUAUACAAUAUUAAUCCACAUAUUGUAUGAAUUAUGCGAAAUAUCCAUUUUGUAUGUAGAGAGAAACAUGCAUGUGUUAUUGUAGUGGAGUACAGUUACAUAAUUAUUUUUAAUUUAGGAUAGCAGUUUAAUUAAAUACUUGCAGAAACCAAGCUUUUUCAGGAAAUUUGCAAUUACAAUCAAUUUGAAUGUACAGCUACAUUAAUAUGGUGACAAGCCCAAUAAUAAAAGCUAACUAAGUAAUUAUGCACAGGUGCUGAACAGAUGUGUAAAUAGAAAGUCUCUGCAUGGAACAUUGUUAUAUAUCAUUUUGAAAAGCAAAAGAAACCUGUUAUCCAUAGCCAUUCAUACAUGCAGUUAUAAUUCGUCACAAAAAAGUUAGUUCUUUGAAUUUAGAUAAAUCAUUUAAAAAUGUGUACUGUAUUUAUGCUUUCAUUUUCUCUUUCUGGAAAGAAAGUCUAGUUGAUUGAAGACUGCUGCUCUACUGUACUCAAAAAGUCUGCUGCACAAUUGAAAUAUAUUCUUCUUUCAACACAUUUAUGAUGAGUGGGUUUUGAGUUUGGAAUCAUUUAACAGUCAAAACAAUUCACAUUCUAUAUUACAAGUUGAGCUUUAUUUAAAGAAUGGAAAAGGUUAAGACUAGUUUAGAGUUGUUUAUUCAAGUUAUCAGAUUGCCAAAAGCCAAAUUUAACCUCCAAAUAGUUGGAAAACAAUGAAGUUGCAUUACUCCUGUGAAUUGCUUUUAGACAGGUUUAUAGUGGUUGCUUGUUUUGUUGGCUUGCUUUUUUUAAUUUAUUUUUUAGCAAACCAGUAUAUUAAAAUAUAUUCUUUCAA